rnacentral:ncRNA from 2 species
AAUGCUGACGCGGGAGAGACUGGCGAGAGCCGGCGCCGAAGGAGCAACCGCCCCGGAAACUCUCAGGCCAAAGGACCGCCCGGCAUCG